GCUGGCGGCAGGCCUAACACAUGCAAGUCGAGCGCACCUUCGGGUGAGCGGCGGACGGGUUAGUAACGCGUGGGAAUAUACCUAGUUCUAAGGAAUAGCCUCUGGAAACGGAGAGUAAUACCUUAUACGCCCUUCGGGGAAAGAUUUAUCGGAAUUGGAUUAGCCCGCGUUAGAUUAGAUAGUUGGCGGGGUAACGGCCUACCAAGUCGACGAUCUAUAGCUGGUUUGAGAGGAUGAUCAGCAACACUGGGACUGAGGCACGGCCCAGACUCCUACGGGAGGCAGCAGUGGGGAAUCUUGGACAAUGGGCGCAAGCCUGAUCCAGCCAUGCCGCGUGAGUGAUGAAGGCCCUAGGGUCGUAAAGCUCUUUCGCCAGAGAUGAUAAUGACAGUAUCUGGUAAAGAAACCCCGGCUAACUCCGUGCCAGCAGCCGCGGUAAUACGGAGGGGGUUAGCGUUGUUCGGAAUUACUGGGCGUAAAGCGUACGUAGGCGGACUGAUCAGUUAGAGGUGAAAUCCCAGGGCUCAACCCUGGAACUGCCUUUGAUACUGUCAGUCUUGAGUUCGAGAGAGGGGAGUGGAAUUCCA
rnacentral:rRNA from 1 species